GCCCAUUUCUUCACUGGAUUAUUUGUUUUUUGGCACAUUGGGCUCAGAAGACUUCAAGAAGAAGACAUCUACUGAAAAACACACUCUCACCUAGAAGACAAUCUGGAAAUACUUGAUCAAAGGCAUCAAAGAAAGGCAUCAAACCACCGCCAGACAGCAAGAGGAGGAAAGAACAGAGAACUGCAAAACAACCAUAAAACAAGUAACAAAAUGGCAAUAAGUACAUACCUAUCAAUGAUUACUUUGACUGUAAAUGGACUAAUUAAUCAAAAGACAUAGGGUGACUGAAUGGAUAAAAAAGGCCCAUCUAUAUGCUGUCUAUGAGACUCCUUUCAGAUCUAAACACACAGAUUGAAAGAGAUGGAAAAGAAUUUAUGAUGCAGAUGGAAGUGAAAAGAAAACUGGGGUAGCAGUACUUAGAUAAAAUAGACUUUAAAACAAAGACUGUAACAAGAGACAAAGAAGGACACUAUAUAAGAGGAACAAUCCAACAAGAAAAUGUAACAAUUGUAAAUAUUUAUGCACCCAACAUGAGAGUACCCAAAUACAUAAGGCAACUAUUAACAAAAUAGUAAUACAAUAAUAUUAGGGGACUCUAACACCCUACUUACAUCAAUGGACAGAUCAGACAGGAAAAUCAACAAGGAAUCAGUAGCUCUUAAUGAUUGGACCAGGUGGAUCUAACAGAUAUAUUCAGAACAUUCCAUCCUAAAACAGUGGAAUACACAUUCUUUUCAAGUGCACAUGGGACAUUCUCCAGAAUAGAUCACAUGUUAGGCCAUAAGUCUCCCCAAAUUUAGGAAGACUAAAGUCAUACAGUGCAUCUUUUCCAGCCACAGUGGUAUCAAACCAGAAAUCAUCACAAGAGAAAACCUGGAAAGAACACAAAUAUAUGUUACUAAGAAAUCAAAAAUGCAUGGAGACAAGUGAAAAUGAAAACACAACAGUCCAAAAUCUUUGGGAUGCAGCAGAAAGAGGGAAGAUUAUAGCAAUUCAGGCCUACCCUCAAGAGGCAAGAAAAAUCUCAAGCAACCUAACCUCAGACCUAAAAGGAGCUAGAAGAACAAAGUCUAAGGCCAGUGGAAAUAAGGAAAUAAAGAUUAGAGCAGAAAUGAAAUAGACUUAAACAACAGAACAGAUCAACAAAACCAGGAGCUUUUUCUUUGAAAAGAUCAACAAAAUUGAUAAACAUUUAGACAGUUUCAUUUAGAAAAAACCCAAAAAGGACUCAAAUUCAGAAAUGAAAGAACUAUCACCACCACAGAAAUACAAAGGAUUUUAGUUAUUAUGAAAAAGUGUAUGCCAAAUUGGACAACCUAGAAGAAAUGGAUAAAUUCCUAGAAACAUAGCCUCUCAAAACUAAAUCAGGCAUAGGAAAUUUACUAGUUACUGACAAUGAUUGAAUCAGUAAACAAAAAGCUCCCAAAAGUUUGGCACCAUAUAUCUUCUCAGGUGAAUUCUACCAAACAUUUAAAGAAGAGUUAAUAUCUAUUCUUCUUAAACUAUUCCAAAAAAUAGAAGAGGAAGGAUAACUUCUAAAUUCAUUCUAUAAGGCCAGCAUUAUUCUGAUACCAAAACCAGAUAAAGACACCACAAGAAAAGAACUAUAGGCCAAUAUCUCUGAUGAACAUAGAUACAAAAACUCUCAACCAUUAGCAAACCAAAUCCCACAGCAAAAAAUUAAACCGCGAUCAAGUGGGAUUUAAAAAAUUCACCACGAUCAAGUGGGAUUUAUUCCGGAGAUGGAAUGUGGUCCAUUCACAAAUCAAUGUGAUAUAUCACAUCCACAAGACAAAAGAUAAAAGCCAUGUGAUUGUUUCAAUAUAUGUAGAAGAAGCAUUUGACAAAGUACAACAUCCAUUAAGAAAUUCAAAGGUUUAGAGGGAAUAUACCUCAACAUAAUAAAGGCCAUUUGUGGAAAAACCCAAAGCUAACAUCCUACUCACUGGUGUGAGUUUUCCCUCUAACAAAAAAGGAUGUCCACUCACCACUUUUAUUCAACAUAGUACUGGAAGUCCUAGCCACAGCAAUCAGACAAGAAAAUAAAAGGAAUCAAAAUCAGUAUAGAAGUAAAACUUUCACUAGUUGCAGAAG